rnacentral:rRNA from 1 species
GACGAACGCUGGCGGCGUGCUUAACACAUGCAAGUCGAACGAUGAAGAAAAGAAUUGAAGCUUCGGCAGAAAUUCAUUUCGGAUUAGUGGCAGACGGGUGAGUAACGCGUGAGCAACCUACCUCUUACAAAGGGAUAGCCUCGGGAAACCGGGAUUAAUACCAUAUAACAUUGCGACGAAGCAUUUCGAUGCAAUCAAAGCUACGGCGGUAAGAGAUGGGCUCACGUCCCAUUAACCAGAUGGUGAGGUAACGGCUCACCAUAGUAACGAUGGGUAACCGGCCUGAGAGGGUGAACGGUCACACUGGAACUGAGACACGGUCCAGACUCCUACGGGAGGCAGCAGUGGGGAAUAUUGCACAAUGGAGGGAACUCUGAUGCAGCGACGCCGCGUGAGUGAUGAAGGAAUUCGUGUCGUAAAACUCUGUUCUAUGGGAAGAAAAGGACUGUACCAUAGGAGAAAGCUCCGGCUAAAUACGUG